UACAGAGGUCCCAAGCGUUGUUCGGAUUUACUGGGCGUAAAGGGCGCGUAGGUUGCAGGCUAAGUCUAAUGUGAAAGCUCUGAGCUUAACUCAGAAAUGGCAUUGGAAACUAGUUUGCUAGAGGAUUGAAGGGGAGACUGGAAUGCUCGGUGUAGCAGUGAAAUGCGUAGAUAUCGAGCGGAACACCAGUGGCGAAGGCGAGUCUCUGGGCAAUUCCUGACACUGAGGCGCGAAAGCUAGGGGAGCAAACGGG
rnacentral:rRNA from 1 species